GACGGAGGAUGCAAGUGUUAUCCGGAAUCACUGGGCGUAAAGCGUCUGUAGGUGGUUUAAUAAGUCAACUGUUAAAUCUUGAGGCUCAACCUCAAAAUCGCAGUCGAAACUAUUAGGCUAGAGUAUAGUAGGGGUAAAGGGAAUUUCCAGUGGAGCGGUGAAAUGCGUAGAGAUGUGGAGGAACACCAGUGGCGAAGGCGGCUUUCUGGACGGUAACUGACGCUGAGACGCGAAAGCGUGGGGAGCAAACAGG
rnacentral:rRNA from 1 species